GAUGAACGCUGGCGGCGUGCCUAAUACAUGCAAGUCGAGCGAACAGACGAGGAGCUUGCUCCUCUGACGUUAGCGGCGGACGGGUGAGUAACACGUGGAUAACCUACCUAUAAGACUGGGAUAACUUCGGGAAACCGGAGCUAAUACCGGAUAAUAUAUUGAACCGCAUGGUUCAAUAGUGAAAGACGGUUUUGCUGUCACUUAUAGAUGGAUCCGCGCCGCAUUAGCUAGUUGGUAAGGUAACGGCCUACCAAGGCGACGAUGCGUAGCCGACCUGAGAGGGUGAUCGGCCACACUGGAACUGAGACACGGUCCAGACUCCUACGGGAGGCAGCAGUAGGGAAUCUUCCGCAAUGGGCGAAAGCCUGACGGAGCAACGCCGCGUGAGUGAUGAAGGUCUUCGGAUCGUAAAACUCUGUUAUUAGGGAAGAACAAAUGUGUAAGUAACUAUGCACGUCUUGACGGUACCUAAUCAGAAAGCCACGGCUAGCUACGUG
rnacentral:rRNA from 1 species